rnacentral:rRNA from 1 species
CGUGUAGGCGGCUGAUUAAGUCGGGUGUGAAAUCCCUCGGCUCAACCGAGGAACUGCACUCGAUACUGGUCAGCUAGAGUGCGAGAGGGGCAAGUGGAACUCCAGGUGUAGCGGUGAAAUGCGUAGAUAUCUGGAGGAACGCCGGUGGCGAAAGCGACUUGCUGGCUCGCAACUGACGCUGAGGCGCGAAAGCUAGGGUAGCGAACG